rnacentral:rRNA from 1 species
CCUGAGAAACCCAAAAGAUCGAAUGGGGAGAUUCAUCGUCAGCGAUCCUGGCGCGUGCGCGGUUCGUGAUGCCACGUGACUUCGGUCUCGAGGUACGCGUCCGUGCGGGUUUUUUGCCUGGAGUCGUC